UACGUAGGGUGCAAGCGUUGUCCGGAAUUAUUGGGCGUAAAGAGCUCGUAGGCGGUCUGUCGCGUCUGCUGUGAAAACUCAGGGCUUAACCCUGAGCUUGCAGUGGGUACGGGCAGACUAGAGUGGCGGUAGGGGAGACUGGAAUUCCUGGUGUAGCGGUGAAAUGCGUAGAUAUCAGGAGGAACACCGGUGGGUGUAAAACGG
rnacentral:rRNA from 1 species